CGCCGACCUCAGGACCAAGCCCACCACCAGCGGGCGCUGACGGAGGCGGGUGUGCGGCUCUGGCGCAGCUGAGCCGUCGACCGCCGGAGCCAAUCCGGCAGUCCGGCAUUUCAGCUGCCGCACACUCGCCCGUCACAGCAUCAGAGGCCUCCCGAGACAGCCCCCACGGUCACCCGGUCCGGCCGUCCGGAGC